AUUGAACGCUGGCGGCAGGCCUAACACAUGCCAGUCGAGCGGAUGAAGGGAGCUUGCUCCUGGAUUCAGCGGCGGACGGGUGAGUAAUGCCUAGGAAUCUGCCUGGUAGUGGGGGAUAACGUCCGGAAACGGGCGCUAAUACCGCAUACGUCCUGAGGGAGAAAGUGGGGGAUCUUCGGACCUCACGCUAUCAGAUGAGCCUAGGUCGGAUUAGCUAGUUGGUGGGGUAAAGGCCUACCAAGGCGACGAUCCGUAACUGGUCUGAGAGGAUGAUCAGUCACACUGGAACUGAGACACGGUCCAGACUCCUAAGGGAGGCAGCAGUGGGGAAUAUUGGACAAUGGGCGAAAGCCUGAUCCAGCAAUGCCGCGUGUGUGAAGAAGGUCUUCGGAUUGUAAAGCACUUUAAGUUGGGAGGAAGGGCAGUAAGUUAAUACCUUGCUGUUUUGACGUUACCAACAGAAUAAGCACCGGCUAACUUCGUG
rnacentral:rRNA from 1 species